ACAGAGAGCCGAGUACAGACUGGAUCUCCACUUUCUCUUCCUGUUUCAGAUCAGUGCUUUUGGGCAGUGGACGAACUGUGUAACAGCCUGAGAUAAACCAAAUGACAUAUUGCAAUUCAGAUUGAAAAUAUUUUGAACAUUGAACUGAUCAAAAUGAUAUCCUCUACGUGAUAACACAGUUUCACAACUCGAUGCAAAAGAAAUGGGCCCUUUUCCCGAGGAAUGAAAAGCCUAUCCUAUUUUGUUCUAUAAGACAC
rnacentral:lncRNA from 1 species